CGAUCUCACAGGCUGACGAUAGGACAAUAUGACAAUUGAGCAUACUGCCCAAAACUAAGUUAGCUAGCUUCACACA